AACCAGUAUUAGAGGCACUGCCUGCCCGGUGACUAGUCGUUAAACGGCCGCGGUAUCCUGACCGUGCAAAGGUAGCAUAAUCACUUGUUCUCUAAUUAAGGACUUGUAUGAAUGGCCACACGAGGGUUUUACUGUCUCUUACUUUUAAUCAGUGAAAUUGACCUCUCCGUGAAGAGGCGGAGAUAACAAAAUAAGACGAGAAGACCCUAUGGAGCUUCAAUUAAUCAACCCAAUAAAUCACAACCUUAAACCACCAAGGGACAACAAAAUUUUAUGUGGGUUGACAAUUUCGGUUGGGGUGACCUCGGAGCACAAAAAACCCUCCGAGUGAUUAAAACCUAGGCCCACUAGCCAAAGUGUAAUAUCAUUUAUUGAUCCAAUCUUUUGAUCAACGGAACAAGUUACCCUAGGGAUAACAGCGCAAUCCUAUUCUAGAGUUCAUAUCGACAAUAGGGUUUACGACCUCGAUGUUGGAUCAGGACAUCCUAAUGGUGCAGCCGCUAUUAAGGGUUCGUUUGUU
rnacentral:rRNA from 1 species